UACGGGGGGGGGCAAGCGUUGUUCGGAAUUACUGGGCGUAAAGGGUUCGUAGGUGGCCAACUAAGUCAGACGUGAAAUCCCUCAGCUUAACUGGGGAACUGCGUCUGAUACUGGUUGGCUUGAGUGCAGGAGAGGAACGCGGAAUUCCAGGUGUAGCGGUGAAAUGCGUAGAUAUCUGGAGGAACACCGGUGGCGAAGGCGGCAUCCUGGACCGGCAUUGACGCUGAGGCGCGAAAGCCAGGGGAGCAAACGGG
rnacentral:rRNA from 1 species